AAACCAACAGGGAUGGCCUUAGUAGCGGCGAGUGAAGCGGCCAAAGCUCAAAUUUGAAAUCCUCCGGGAAUUGUAAUUUGUAGACUUGUUCUAGGUGACUGACUAAAGUUUGCUGGAAUGCAACGCCUUAGAGGGUGACAGCCCCGUUAAGUCUUAACCGAUUGUAGAGCAAUGUCAAAGAGUCGAGUUGUUUGGGAAUGCAGCUCAAAGUGGGUGGUAAACUCCAUCUAAAGCUAAAUAUUGGCGAGAGACCGAUAGCGAACAAGUACAGUGAUGGAAAGAUGAAAAGAACUUUGAAAAGAGAGUGAAAUAGUACGUGAAAUUGUUGAAAGGGAAGGAUUUAGUGGUAGACUUGGCUUUACGGAACAGUUGUCUCUCGGGAUUGCGUACUCCGUCUUUUGCCGGGUGAAGCCAUGUGAUGAGGGGUUAAGAAACCUCUAGGAAUGUGGCACCAACUUGUUGGUGUGUUAUAGCCUAGAGAAAUUGACCCAUUCGCUACAUUGGCUUCACGUAAUACUACUAAAUCACCCGUCUUGAAACACGGACCA
rnacentral:rRNA from 1 species